GGGUUCGAUCAUGGCUCGAAUUGAACGCUGGCAGGAUGCUUUACAUGCAAGUCGAACGGCAGCACGGACUUCGGUCUGGUGGCGAGUACCAGCGAACGGGUGAGUAAUGUAUCGGAACGUGCCUAGUAGCGGGGGAUAACUACGCAAGCGUAGCUAAUACCACAUACCGCCCUUCGGGGAAAGCGGGGGACCUUCGGGCCUCGCACUAUUAGAGCGGCCAUUAUCGGAUUAGCUAGUUGGUGGGGGUAACGGCUCGCAAAAGGCGACGAUCCGUAGCUGGUUUGAAGGACGACAGCACACUGGGACUGAGACACGGCCCAGACUCCUACGGGAGGCAGCGGUGAAAUUUUGGACAAUGGGAAACCACAGUCCAGCGCCCGCGUGUGCGAUGAAGGCCUUCGGGUUGUAAAGCACUUUUGGCAGGAAAAGACGGCACGGAUAAUACCCCGUGCAACUGAUAUUUUGCAGGAAUAAUACCGGCUAACUACGUGCCAGCAGCCGCGUUAAUACAUGGGGUGCAAGCGUUAAUCGGAAUUACUGGGCGUAAAACGUGCGCAGGCGGUUCGGAAGAAAGAUGUGAAAUCCAGAGCUUAACUUUGGAACUGCAUUUUAACUACCGAGCUAAGAGUGUGUCAGAGAGGUGGAAUUCCGCGUGUAGCAGUGAAAUGCGUAGAUAUGCGGAGGAACACCGAUGGCAGAGGCAGCCUCCUGGGAUAACACUGACGCUCAUGCACGAAAGCAGUAAGGAACAUAAACAAGGAUUAGAUGCCCUGGUAGUCCACGCCUAAACGAUGUCAACUAGCUGUUACGGGGCCUUCCGGGCCUUGGUAGCCCUGCAGCUAAAGUGAAGUUGGUAAAACCUGGGGAGUACAGUCACCAGACAAAAACUCAAAGGAAUUGACGGGGACCCGCACCAACAGUGGAUGAUGUGGAUUAAUUCGAUGCAACGCGAAAAACCUUACCUACCCCCUUGACAUGUCUGGAAUCCCGAAGAGAUUUGAAGUGCUCGCAAAACCGGAACACAGGUGCUGCAUGGCUGUCGUCAGCUCGUGUCGUGAGAUGUUGGGUUAAGUCCCGCAACGAGCGCAACCCUUGUCUGUUUGGAUUUGCUACGAAAGGGCACUCUAAUGAGGACUGCCGGUGACAAACCGGAGGAAGGUGGGGAUGACGUCAAGUCCUCAUGGCCCCCUUAUGGGUAGGGCUUCACACGCCAUACAAUGGUCGGGACAGAGGGUCGCCAACCCGCGAGGGGGAGCCAAUCCCGACCCGAUCCGUAGUCCGGAUCGCAGUCUGCAACUCGACUGCGUGAUCGGAAUCGCUGGCGUAAUCGCGGAUCAACGUGUCGCGGUGAAUACGUUCCAGGUCUUGUACACACCGCCCGUCACACCAUGGGAGUGGGUUGCCCAGAAGUAGUUAGCCUAACCGUAAGGAGGGCGAUUACCACGGUAGAAGUUCAUGACUGGGGUGAAGUCGUAACAAGGUAG
rnacentral:rRNA from 1 species